UUGGGAUCAUGUUAGAUAGCCAGGGUCAAAAGCAAGCCCAUCCCACCAAAUGCAGUUACUUUAAAUCUUAAAUUUCUGUCUUUCAUUUAGUCCUGAAGUGGGGAGAUGUUCUCCCUAUUCCAGCUCUUCAUGCAGACCUUUAAGAGUGGGAAGCAAAGUGAGAGGGCUGAUCUAACCUAACCUUUAACUCAGACAAAAUGAAUUUAAACUGUUUAGGGGCAGUGUGCAGCUGAGGCCAAUCUGUGUGGCUUUAGAGAAGAGGAUUUUUAGUUUGGGCAUCUGAUGGGAUUGCGAGGUUGAAAAAGGGAGCUGUGUGGGUGAGUUGGAGCUCUGACUUGCACUGCAUGCUUAUUUGGUUAACACAUGUCUCCAGCCCAAAGAAAGACCAACAAAGCAUUGCAAUGGGAUUUGGACCAGUUAGAUAUCAGAUCUCAAAAGACAGGCAUCCAUGGAAGAAGCCUUGCUGAACUGGGACUAUUGCUUGUAAAAUGUCUGUGGAAAUGAUUAGUUGAAAGCCCAAAACUCUUUUUUCAUCGUUGUUCGGCAACCACAUUGGCAAUGAGAGCUGGCAGGGGCACGUGAUAAAAGGGUACAGGAGAGUGAUUCAGACAAUCUGAUUAAUCUGGGGCUUCCUGGAUGAUUCACAUUGGCCCUAAUGGAGCCAGAUGUAACCAAAGUGACGUGCUUGGGAGUUAAACAGCACAGGCCAUGGCUCAACAGUGGGGGCAUAUCUGAAAGGAAACUUAACUGCAAGAAAAGCUGAUGCAACCUUCAGGUGUUAAAAGAGCUUCCAGAUGCUUCUGAGUGAGUGUGGAAUAAUGCCACAUGCUCGCUCCAGUCCCUCCAGUUCUUCCUUGAUGACUUUAAGUUGCCCUCUUUCAUCCUGUCAUCCAGUUCCCUGCCUCUGGCUGCACUGCCUGCACACAGGGCUUGCCCCAUCCGACC